AAACUGGUAUUCUUUCGGUACAUUUUGUCAAGGUGCUGCAUGGUUGUCGUCAGCUCGUGCCGUGAGGUGUCGGGUUAAGUCCCAUAACGAGCGCAACCCCUAUUGUAGUUGUCCAUCAGGUCAUGCUGGGGACUCUAACAAAACUGCCCGCGUAAGCGUGGAGGAAGGUGGGGAUGACGUCAAAUCAGCACGGCCCUUACGUCCAGGGCUACACGCGUGCUACAAUGGCCGGUACAGAGGGCAGCCACUUGGUGACAAGGAGCAAAUCUCAAAAGCCGGUCUCAGUUCGGAUCGGAGUCUGCAACUCGACUCCGUGAAGUUGGAUUCGCUAGUAAUCGUAGAUCAGCAAUGCUACGGUGAAUACGUUCCCGGGCCUU
rnacentral:rRNA from 1 species